UGAGUAGCUGGGAUUACAGGCUCACGCUGCCACGCCCGGCUAAUUUUUUGUAUUUCAGUAGAGACAGGGUUUCACCACGUUGCCCAGGCUGGUCUUGAACUCCUGAGCUCAGCAAUCUGCCCACCUUGGCCUCCCAAAGUGCUAGGAUUACAGAUGUGAGCCACCAGACAAUCUGCCCACCUUGGCCUCCCAAAGUGCUGGGAUUACAGAUGUGAGCCACCAGGCCCUGCCUAUUUAAUUUUUUGUAAGAUGGAGUCUCACUCUGUCACCCGGGCUGGAGUGCAGUGGUGAGAUCUAAGCUCACUAUAACCUCUGCCUUCCUGGGUUCAAGUGGUUCUCCUGCUUCAGCCUCCUGCGUAGCUGGGACUACAGGCUCACACUAUCACCUCCAGCUAAUUUUUGUUUGUUUGUUUGUUGUUUAUUGAGACGGAGUCUUGCUCUGUCACCCAGGCUGGAGUGCAGUGGCACAAUCUUGGCUCACUGCAACCUCCGCCUCCCGAGUUCAAGCGGUUCUCCUGCCUCAGCCUCCCUAGUAGCUGGGAUUACAGGUGCCCGCCACCACACCUGGCUAAUUUUUGUAUUUUUAGUUGAGAGGGGGUUUCACCAUGUUGGCCAGGCUGCUCUCGAACUCCUGAACUCAGGCGAUCUGCCCGCCUUGCAAAUUGCUGACGUUAGAGACAUGAACCACCAUGCCUGGCCAAUUUUUUUAUUUUUAGUACAGAUAGGGUUUCACCAUGUUGGCCAGGUUGGUCUCAAACUCCUGACCUCAAGUGAUCUGCCCUCCUCGGCCUCCCAAAGUGCUGGGAUUACAGGUGUGGGCCACUGCACCUGGCCAGAUUUUUACUUCAUCAUGGAAGAGAUUUCAGCCUAUGGCUAAGGAAGGAGGUAAUGAAAGCCUAGGGGAGGAGGUCCCCUUCUCUCAAGUAGGAGGGAAGGUAGUUGGGACAGUGGGGACAAGUGUCACCCCUACAGGAAGGAGGACAAACUUCUGGGGUCAGGGAGCAGUAAGGGCAGGGGUCCUCAAACCUCAGGCCACAGAGAAACAGGGCCAUACAGCAGAAGCUGAGUGGCGGGAGAGCCAGCGAGGCUCCAUCUGUAUUUACAGCCCCUCCCCCUCCGCAAAUUACCACCUGAGCUCUGCCUCCUGUCAGAUAAGCAGCAGCAUUAGAGUCUCAUAGGAGUGCAAACCCUACUGUGAACCGCGCAUGUGAGGGAUCUAGACUGCAUGCUCUUUAUGAGUAUCUAAUGCCUGAUGAUCUGUCACUGUCUCACAUAACCCUCAGAUGGGACCGUCUAGUUGCAGGAAAACAAGCUCAGGGCUCCCACUGUUGCUACAUUACGGUUGUAUCAUUAUUUCAUCAUAUAGUACAAUGUAAUAAUAAUAGAAAUAAAGUGCACAAUAAAUCUUAUGCGUUUGAGCCACCGCUCCUGGCCGGGUCUUUCUUCUUUUAGUCUGUAUUCCCCCGUGAAGUCCUCUGCCUGGGUUUUCACCGUUACUUCCCCCUCUCCCACAGAUCAGGGUGUGCUGUAUCAGCAGUCACAGACUCUGAACUUCCUGCCUAGUGAAAUGUGUGUCCAGGGUCCUUGGUUGCUCCUAGUGAUGAGGAGCUCAGCACCUCCUACAGCAUCCAUUCCAGCAGAAAGCCCUUUCUCAAUCGCUUGAACACCGGAGGCGGAGGUUUCAGUGAGCCGAGAUCGAGCCACUGCAGCCUAGCCUGGGUGACAGAAUGACAUUCUGUCUCAAAAUAAAUAAAUAAAUAAAUAAAAUAAAGAAAAAAAAGAAAGAAAGCCCCUUCUCAGAUGGGCCAAGGGAGGAGCUGGCCUUUCCUUGAGGGCCCUAACUUUGCCCCUCAAUCCCUAGACCCUUCUGUGGAACCAUAGACCACCCCCGCCUG
rnacentral:lncRNA from 10 species